rnacentral:piRNA from 1 species
UCUCUACACUUGGAAUUAAACCACAAA